rnacentral:rRNA from 1 species
AACGAACGCUGGCGGCAGGCUUAACACAUGCAAGUCGAGCGCCCCGCAAGGGGAGCGGCAGACGGGUGAGUAACGCGUGGGAAUCUACCCAUCCCUACGGAACAACUCCGGGAAACUGGAGCUAAUACCGUAUACGCCCUUCGGGGGAAAGAUUUAUCGGGGAUGGAUGAGCCCGCGUUGGAUUAGCUAGUUGGUGGGGUAAUGGCCUACCAAGGCGACGAUCCAUAGCUGGUCUGAGAGGAUGAUCAGCCACACUGGGACUGAGACACGGCCCAGACGCCUACGGGAGGCAGCAGUGGGGAAUAUUGGACAAUGGGCGAAAGCCUGAUCCAGCCAUGCCGCGUGAGUGAUGAAGGCCCUAGGGUUGUAAAGCUCUUUCACCGGUGAAGAUAAUGACGGUAACCGGAGAAGAAGCCCCGGCUAACUUCGUGCCAGCCGCCGCAGUAACAC